UUAAUUUUCAUUUCGCGGCUCCACAAGAAUGACUUUUCUUGUGCUCACCGAAAUAAAAAGUGAAAACGCUCUCUCUGCGUCGCACAAUAAAAAGAUAAAGAACGCCACAACACCGCUCCUUCUCCAGUUCCCUUGUAUGCUCUUGCAGGGUAGCAGUGCAUGCGCGUCCAUGCGGUCUGGGGUUGAACCCAUUCAUACCUACGAAUUUCUCUGGAGCUUCCAGUCUUCUAAAGGUUUGGGACAAAUACAACUAAAGAUGGGAGAUCUUAAAAGUUCAUUUUCAAAAAGGUCUUAACGAUUUACCCUGAUAAUUGGGAGACACUGAAAGUGAGCUGGAGUCAAAGUAUGCGGGUCUCAGUGAUCUUUUUUUCUUCUCAUUUCACAGCUAAUAGAUUCUUUUCUAUAGGCUUUUGGUCACAUAUAUGUUCAGGUUGGGCAGAAAGGGAAGGCAUUGGGAUUUAUGAGGAAGGCUACAAAAAUUGACCCAAAUGGUGCCCAGGUAAUCAACCCAUUUAUAACAGGAGAUGUCCAGUAUGGUGCUCCACAACCCAUUUAUUGUUUUGUAGUUCAAACAACUUGGACUGGUUAUUGUUUUGUAUCUUAUUAGAUCUCUUGUUUGUUUUUCUUUACUAUUGAAUUUCAUAGUUAUUGAUUGUAGGAAUAGGGUGGAGAUGUUAUACAGAGAAGUCUGGCAUUAGUAUCAUCCCUGAAACCAUCGAUAACUGGACUUUGCCUUAUUAUUUUUAUUUACAUAAGAAGACCAAGAUCUUCAAAAAAGAAGAAGAAGAAGAAGAAGAAGACCAAGAUUCACAUUAGUGCCUUGUUAUCACUGAACGUUGUAUACAAAUCUUAGUGAGUUUAAUUGUUCUGUUUCUUUCUGUUUAUUUGGUCAAUUGCAGAUUAAGGGUGGAAGUUGGUUUGUUCUGUUUGGUUCAACUCCGAAAAGAAAAUAAUCAGCUAAUAGGCCAAGACUUCUUCAUAUUUAACCAUCACUCAUAGUUCAGUUCAAUUAUGGGAUACACUGCGAGUUUUGGAAGCUGCUUUCGACGAAUAGAUUAGUUUUGUUAUUAAGACUUUUCGAUUUGUAUCAUCAGUGUACAAGGGCAAAAGAACUUGAUGGCUGAGACAAUGUAGUACUUGUCUAAUUUUACGAAUGUUAAUUACAUUGUAUUUUGAGAUUAUUUAAUGAAAGUCCAUAUACUUUUGAUGUCU